rnacentral:rRNA from 1 species
GGGUACUGAACUUGCUUAUUGCACCACAUGUGUUUUUCUUUGAAACAAACUUGCUUUGGCGGUGGGCCCAGCCUGCCGCCAGAGGUCUAAACUUACAACCAAUUUUUUAUCAACUUGUCACACCAGAUUAUUACUAAUAGUCAAAACUUUCAACAACGGAUCUCUUGGUUCUCGCAUCGAUGAAGAACGCAGCGAAAUGCGAUACGUAAUAUGAAUUGCAGAUAUUCGUGAAUCAUCGAAUCUUUGAACGCACAUUGCGCCCUCUGGUAUUCCGGAGGGCAUGCCUGUUUGAGCGUCGUUUCUCCCUCAAACCGCUGGGUUUGGUGUUGAGCAAUACGACUUGGGUUUGCUUGAAAGACGGUAGUGGUAAGGCGGGAUCGCUUUGACAAUGGCUUAGGUCUAACCAAAAACAUUGCUUGCGGCGGCAACGUCUACCACGUAUAUCUUCAAACUUUGACCUCAAAUCAGGUAGGACUACCCGCUGAACUUAAGCAUAUCAAAAGCGGGAGG